UAUUACGGGAAGGCACAUUUUCUGUAGCUUUGCCCGAAGAGAGAAGCUGUUUUCUCUCAGAGAUGGAACAUGUUAGCUGGUUGCCAUGAUGUCUUCAUUUGUCCAUCGCUGCCCCUCUGUGAGCAGGCAGCCAUCAGGACAGAGAGUGGCAUGCUGGACAGGCCGACUCUGACAAGGAGCAAGCUACGCAGACAUUGUGCUGGAAUUUCUAUGCUGAAGAAUUAAGCUAUAUUGUUUGGCAAAAGAAGAAACUGAAAACAAGAAAUCCAUCCCUUUCUACCACUGCUAUUAUAUCAUCCACGUUUAAAAAAAAAAAGUUUGUAUGUAGUUAUAUACAACAAGAAGUUUCUGCUUCGGAUUUCUCUGUUGGGCAGGGUGGUGGGAGGGAUGGGGUCUCGAGUUUUUCCCAAGUGAAAUCCUGGUAAUCCUGCCUGAGAGAAUUCUUAUGAAAGUUUCACUCACAAUGAAAGCAAACUUCCAAGGUGGAGGAGGGUGAAGCCGGCUGGCUGGACCGAUCACUGAGGCCCAGUGCUGCGAAGAGAGUUCAGCACAUUAUUCCAACCCUUUCUGGGAGCACGGCCCAGGCUUGGCACCGGUUUGGUGUUCUCGAGUGUGAUGCAUUCUGAAAACCUGGCUGCGUCCGUGGCCCAGCUCCAGUUCUGCAGGGCUCAGCAUCAGGCUGCCCCCUCUCCUAAGGUGUUUUGCAGGAUCGCCCCUCAGAGCUAAACACCCACCAGCUGACCACCUGUUCCAGGUGAUGGGAUUUUGGCUCAGAUCAGCCUGGAUCAGGGUGGACCUCUACAAGCUGGCUUGCAUGAAUGUAAAUGUCUGCUGCCCAUCUUGAAGACCAUCGGCAAGCUUUGGUGGGUUCAUAUUCAGUGGCAUUAGGGAUUAAGGCAAACUUAAAAUGAUUCUGAGUGUAAACAGAUACAGAUAUAAACUUUUGGGGGAACAAUUUGGUAAUAGCUAAUAACAAUCGUUAAAAUGUUUAUAUCCUUUGACCUGAUAGUGUUAGUUCUAAGAAUUUACCUUAAGAAAAUAAAUAAAUUUAUAUCCCAUGA
ensembl:lncRNA LINC02958 long intergenic non-protein coding RNA 2958